rnacentral:rRNA from 1 species
ACUACGGGUGGCAGCAGUGGGGAAUAUUGGGCAAUGGGCGCAAGCCUGACCCAGCAACGCCGCGUGAAGGAAGAAGGCUUUCGGGUUGUAAACUUCUUUUAAGAGGGAAGAGCAGAAGACGGUACCUCUUGAAUAAGCCACGGCUAACUACGUGCCAGCAGCCGCGGUAAUACGUAGGUGGCAAGCGAUGUCCGGAUUUACUGGGUGUAAAGGGCGUGCAGCCGGGAAGACAAGUCAGAUGUGAAAUCCCGCGGCUCAACCGAGGAACUGCAUUUGAAACUGUUUUUCUUGAUUACCGGAGAGGUCAUCGGAAUUCCUUGUGUAGCGGUGAAAGGCGUAGAUAUAAGGAAGAACACCAGUGGCGAAGGCGGAUGACUGGACGGCAACUGACGGUGAGGCGCGAAAGCGUGGGGAGCAAACAGGAUUAGAUACCCGUGUAGUC